CGAGGGAGAAAGAGCGAGAGAGCCGGAGCGUUUGCGUGGGGAACGAUCGCAGCUCGUCAUUCGAAGCCCGCCAACGGACGAGCGAGCAGCCACGGAACGGGACCGCGAUUGAAAGAACCCACGCAAUUUUCGCGAUAAAAGAGAAAGGGAGAUAUAUUAAAAAAAAAGAGGGAGAAAGAGAGAGAGAGAGAGAGAAUCAAGGAGAGUAGCACGCGUCGCGCGCGAUCGGGAUAGCAAGUGAGAGCGCAGAGGGUGAUCGUACGGAAAAGAGAAAAAAGUCGCAGAUAUCGCUUUGCUCGCCGAUCCUCUUCGAGAGCGGAGAUUCCACCACGGGGUUGCGGAUUCGCUCGUCGCGAUACUCGCUCGCUCGCUCGCUCGCUCGGUUCUCGCGUCCGGUUGAGUUUCGCUCGCGUUGCGAUUGGCCGCGGUGUCCGCCGGUGGAAGUUUUCGACAGUAGAAAGGGAAAGAAAGCGAAAGAGUGUGCGUGUGUGUGUGCGUGAGAGAAGGGGAGAGAGAGAGAGAGAGAGAGAGGGGGAGAGAAGGCGAAAUAGUGAGAAGCGUACUGACCGACAAAGUGAAGAGAAGAUCGAAAAGGGCGCGAGAGGUUAAGGGAGUGCCGAUAAAUUAAGUGGUGGAAGAGCCGAAAGCGAAGUUGUUGACAGUGACGAAAAGUGACAUCGCUACACCGCGCAUUUCGCUCCAGGAUAUCGUUGCUCCGAUAAUUGGUUCCCGGAAAAGAAGGAGCUUACGACGGCGCCAAGGUGACGCGUGGAAGAAAAACAGCCGGAGAAAGUGAUCUCGUGAUUUGUUUAUCUUUUGGUUUUGGUGCGCUCUGUGCCUCGGUGAGCUCUGUGUGCGCGAGGAUUUCGGGAAGAAGGUCGAUCGUAUUCGCGUCGAGGGAAGUUGGUUCUUAACGUACACUCCCACGGAGAGCAAGGGGUGCGAUUCCGCGAAUGUCCUUCGUCGAUAGUAUAAACAAGCUCGGUGCAUAUUUUCCUAUAGAAGGAUACACGCGAGUGAGACCCCCGUGCGACACUCGCCUAUCGUCAUUGGUCGUCAUUGGUCCCGCGACCGCACGCGACCAAUAGAAAAGUUUGUAGUUUCGACCGCGAGUCGAAUACGCGUGGAGUCGCGAGAGCCCAUUAGCGGCUAACGUCCGACUAGUCUCAGUUUUCCAACGGACCGCGACGCACGUCUAUCGCGAAGUGAGAAUCGUCUCGCGUGGCUCGUGCCUCCGAUUCCGCAGCAGGCUAAUAAACAUCGGCGCGGGUUUCCCUUCGAAGAAACGAUCGUGGGACAACUAAAUUGAGUGACAAUCGAAACGCGAGAGGGAGAGAAAACGGACGACACGUCGAACAUCUCGUGCGGAGCAAAGUGACAACCAACGUCGGAGUGAAUACAGCCGCAAGGUCGUUCGCGAGUGCUGAUCAGUGCUGACACUCCACAAUACUGCGUGACCCACUCUCGCGCGCGUACGUUCGGUGUUUCUUCUCGCGUAGUGAGAACGGAAGAGAAACGAAACAGACGAAGAGUGAGCGAAAGUGCACGUCGUACGUCGUCGUGCCGUCUCGUGGUUACCGUUGUCGCGUCGCGAUUCCUAGAAUCUCGUCGUCUUUCACGCCGUUUCUCCGCCCCGUCCGUUUCGCGAGCGUGUACGACGUCGUCGUGACGCCGUCGUGAGCCGUGAUUAUCCCGCGCGACACGCUCCACGCUCGAUCGACGUGCGACGACCCCCCGCGGUCGAGCCGUCACCGCCGCGAGAGUAGCACUCGGUGCACCUGUGUCCGUUACUCGCGAGCCGAGACGUGCUCCGCGCGCGACAGCACCGCCGCGCUAUUAUCCGUGAGCACCGGCGAUUAUCGGCGCAUCGCGCUCCACCGAUCUUGGUGCACGCUCGCCCACGUCCGAUCCUUCCUCCGAUUUACUUCGGAUUACGCGUCGCGCCAGCGCCAGCGCCAGCGCCAGCGGUACGCUCCGUACGCUCGUGCAGCCGUUUCGGGAAGGAUAAAGCCCCCGGACGGUGCUCACGUGACGAAAGUGCAGACGCUGCCUUCUCGGUCACUUGGAACAAGUGACCGACAGGACAUACCUUUUUCUCCUGGAAGUGUUACGCAAACGGCCUCAAGAUUCAGCUCGACGUCAUGCCGUGGUUCAUUCUAUUUCUCCUGCUGCUUGCCGUGAUGGAGGCCUUCCCUCGGGAGGCCACCUGUUCCCGCCUGCCGGACAUCUACUGGAACUCCACCAAUCCAAUGUGAGUCCACUUCAUGCAUAUUUUAGUCGACGAUGGUUCCGCGUACGUAGCCCAACACCAAUAAGCACGGGUUUGAUGAGUGAGUCCAUAAAAAAGAGAUUCGUGAUCAUUAAUUUUAAGCGUCUUUUUUACGACCGGUACGAAAAAUUACGGAAGUAAAGCGGCCCAGCGCUUUUACGAAAUUUUAUCGAACCAUUAUGCACCCCAAUUAAAUGUCCUUUAUCAGCGCGCUCGCAAUUUGCAUGAUUGAAUGAUUUUAAAUUGCGGAAGGGUGCGACGCUCUCAUAUAAAAUUAGUAAUAACGGUAUAAUUAAUUUACGACGGACUUGUAUGCUCCGUUUUAUAAUGUGGUACUAUUGUACCGAUCCCGUUUGAAUCUUGAUUUUCGGCGUUGCUGGGCCGUCUUCGGCAUUUCGGCAAUCUCUGCCAAAUUAAUGAGGUAAUUCUAUAUUAGGCAGCAUUGUGCGUUGGAUGUGUAGGAACUCAUUUUGGUCAAAUUGUAGCGCGCGAUAGUCCAUUCCGCGCACGCACACAACGUGACCGGGAUAGUGCAUCGAUGCACGCAGCAGGGUGAUGCAUCUUUGCAUUGACCAGCUCUGCAUAUGUAUAUGUUCGUUCGUAAGACGCGUUUAGCGACGCGUCGAUGAGCCUCCGCGCUUUUCGCACCGUCAGAGUACGCUUCAUCUUCCGUUUAAUCGACGGUAUUUGACCAAGCAGCGGCGUCGAGCCUUUCUCGAGUAAUUAACGGGGCAAUCAGCAGUCCUAAAAAUAUUGCAUUUAAUGAUAGAGUCUCCUUAGAAGUCCGGGCCCGAAACUAUAGAUUACAUUGGGACAAGGUAAUUGGUCAGACCGGUACAGACCGCUGUGUGUGAAAGCAGCUGCGCCAUUAUAAUUGCAGACUACCAUCGUUCAGUGAAGAAAGAAUGCUGGAGUAAUUCGCUCAUCGACGCAAUCUCUUAUUUUUGCUAGCGAUGGCCUUCACCCCGGCCGGCGCCUUCGUAACGACCCGAUGUUACGACGCUAAGAAUUUCGUCUUCGAGCCUCUCAUGAACCGUGCCUCUUAUAAAAUUCGCGAUAAUUCCCAAGCAUGAAUUUUUCUAUCGUAUGUAAUGAUGCAGAACAAUUAAUUUCCGCGUAAAUACACAUGCAAAAGAAAACUGAUUGCGAUCAGUGUCUGUUGGAAUGAAGUCCAGCGCGAGAAAAACCAUGCGAAGAUGUCGAGUCUAAGUUCCGGGCAAUCGAUCUUCGCUAAUGUUCCUUAGACCGGAAAUGUUCACCUUCGCUCGCCGCGUCCUUAUCGAGCAUCUUCGCCCUGUGUCGUUGAUAGUUAAGACUUGGAUUGAUCUGCGCUUUGCGUUUCGUCGCGUGACGACUCGCGACAAAAUAAUGGACGAACCGGUGGAGAUGAUUGAUAGCGCGGGCAAGCGUAUUUAACCUCAUCGAACCGUCGUAGUACGUACCUUUCCCGCACGCGCGAAUUACAAAUUGCAAAUAAUAAUUAACGAGCGGACGCGUGCAUACAUAUUGAUACAAUCGAUCCUUGUGAAAUUAAUCAACUAGCAACAAAAGAUAUACGGCGCGAUAUUUGCGAUAUUUGGAAGGGGUGGAGGGGGACGCGAAAAAUGGUGAAACCCGUUAUCGUAUAUCGCGAAAAAGCGCGCGAAUGGAAAUGAGGUAGUUAGCAGUACAACUUUCGCGUGUUCCGACUUUUAUUCCCGAUUUUCACGGUCGGCGCGACGCUUCUUGCCCGCGCUUUCGUCGACUGGGAAUUAACACUCCACGCCUGCGUUACUUUUAAUUUUCGACAUAAUCUUUUUCAACCCGCUCUCCGUCCCGUCAUCGUUUUUCUUCCUUUAACGACGCGCGGGCUCGCCGUUCGAACCACGCAUUUGUAAUUGACUCGAUGGUUCGGAACGAAGGUGUCGUCGGAAGAAACGAGCAAAGGCCAAUUAUUCGCUCGGCAAUCUUUUUAAUAUUUUAUUAUAUUGCUUUCGCUUGGAUCGUAACUUUGAAUUGGCUCUGUCGGACUGACAGGAGAUGACUAAGAAAUUCUUUCCGAUGCGAUUGCAUACGUCGGAUGACGUACCGAAGGUGCAUGGCGAGUGUGUGUGAGAGAGAGAGAGAGAGAGAGAGAGAGAGAAAUGGGGGACGCAUUUUUCAGAAUAAUACCAGAUAAACAACGAGCAAGCUUCAGGAUAUAUUAUAUAAGAGAUACCAGCAAACUCAUCCUUUCCUAAUUGGUUUGUCUGAACCAAUAUCUUUUUCCAUCUCUUUCUUUCCAUCUCUUUUUAUACAUCUGCUUUGUAUAGGUAGACGGUUGCUCGUAAACGUUUACUCAUGCUAUAUUUAUAGUCUGCUGGAAAAUUUCUGAUGAUUCAACUUUUAGAGAACGUAUAAACUUCCGAUAUUUGUUUUCUUCGUUACGAUUUUAAGAUAGACUUGCAUAUAUUAUUUAUAUAUUUAUCUCGACUUACUGUAAAUCUCGAUUAAUUAAGAAAAACGAAAACUCAAGUAGAUUUAUUUUUAUUGCUCUAGUGAUAUUGAAAUAUAUCCGCAUGCGUGCGAUAAACUUUUUGUUGUAAUGAUUUUUAUCGAGUGGCGACGCAUUCCGCAUAGAUUAACAUACAGAUAUUUAAUAUUUAGGUUUAUCAGUCAUUCCGAAACUAGUAUUGUCACGUUUUGCAAUAUCGCACGUCUGUGGAUAUAGAAAAUUUUGGCCAUUUGUAAUAUCACGAGAAUGUAAAUCGUAUCGAUGUCUCGUUCGAACGUACUUGGCUUGUCGUCUACAUUUUUCACGCAUGCAUGACGUUGCAACCAUAUCUCACGAUACGAUGGAAAACAGGAUCGUAACGUUCGAUGGUAAAAUCUGUGUCCCGCCGGUAGUACCAAUCAUAGAGUAUCCGCUUGACUGAUCUUGCAUCGUCUCUCAGCUAAGAAUUGAGAAAUAUGACAAGCUGUCGAAAGAAGAAAAUCUAAUGCUAGUAGAUAGAUUGACGAUGAGACUCGGUUAAGUACUAACCUAAUUUCAGAUGAAACUUUGAAAAAUUCCCCAGAAAGUUUUAGUCGUAAAAUAUUUUUAGUCUCUUCACCUCAUAAAUUUUUUCCAGAAAAAAGUAAUAAUGAGAAGUAAUGUACACGCAAAGUAAAUCGCUAGCUCAUUUGUAUAUUUUUUUAUUAUGCAAUACGUCUGUUGUUGCCUGUGUUAGAUACUUAUUACGCACAUUUUUGGUAAUGUGGGGAAAACAAAGUGCGGACAGGGAUUUGAAGUAAAUCGCUGAAAAUAUCCCUUGAGAUUCAUUCUCGCAGAAUCUUCGCAAUUUCACCUGUGAGGCUUGACUCUUGGCAACCUGUGAAAAUCUCGGGAUGUAACGCUUUAAAUGGGGCGCGAGAGUUUAGUACGAUUUAAUCUGGUUAGUUUCGUAGUUCGCAGGAAAGAAGUCCUCGGCUCUUGGGUUAAGUGGUUUAGUUUUACGAAUGGAUGAGAUCCGUAAGAGGCAACACUUAAUUGGAACGUGCUUGUCCUCUCGAGGAAGGAAGCUGCAACCCACGCGGAGAACGACCCUCGUAGAUCUCGCGGAAGCACUCUUGAAAGGGCGACAUUUCGCUUCCGCGCACGAUUCGAACUCCUAAACUGGAUUUCGACUAUCGAGUAACGGGGUAAGAGGUGCUUUUAUAUAAGUUCCGCGUUCGCGCGUGUCAUAUACUCGUACAAUGGACCAGGAAAGAACGAGUUAGCUAGUGGAGAAAGGCUACAAGUAUUACUCACGCAUCCUUGCAAUCGCGCAAAGAUUCUAUUCUAUUCAGUUUCCGUGCCAAAUCCAAGAAACAAAUAGGAUAGGAUAUUAUUUUCCAUACAUCAAUCACACGGCAUAAUGCAGGAUUAUUUAGAGUUAUACGAUAAUAUAUAUAUUUUCCAUUUCGAACGAUAUUACAUUUUGACGUAAUAUAAUGCAUGAACCUUCGUUUAUUCAAAGCUUUUUGCAUUGAUUAUAUCUGCGCAUUACGCCACCGACGGUGGCGUAAAAUUCCUGUGGUAAUUUCUCGCGUUUAUUGCAUUAUCGAUUGCCGGAUUUAAAUGUGUGAAAUAUGAUUUCAAGCAGAGAUGGCUGAAGCACUAAAUGUGAUUAUCGUGCGUGUUUUUGUUUUGUACCAUUGUGCAAAUGUGUCGCGAUAAGAUAAUACGUGUGUAUAUUCAUUAUAUUAACGGUAUCGAUUGCGAAAGAUUCAUGAUUAUUCCGAUAUUAUUUUAUGCCCAAGCCUCAUCUGCUGCACAUGAUACAGCAUUAUUUUGCAUUCAGAACGCCUUCUUCUACGCUUCCCAAAUAAAAUGUAACAAACAAUUUGGAAACAUUAAAUUAAAUUAGAAACCGUAUGAAUGUAAUAAUGGUAAUAACUGUAGAGGAUCUACAUACGUUAUUUUCUUUUAUUGUUAUAAUAAUAAUAACAACAAUAACGAUAUACCGGAAAAUACUAAAACACUUUAGAGACUUGGCAUGCAAAUUGCUAAGUAUUAUUUAAAGUAACGAUGGAUCUAUCUUUAUAUUUAAUUUGAGUAUAUUUGACUUGAGAUGUUGCAAAAUUCCUUAGUCCGCUCGAGAAUCGCAAAGGAUGAAAAUUAUGCUCGCAAAUUUGAACAAAGUAGCAAAAACGCCGCAAAUUAUUGCGCUACGUAUCCCACAUCCCGAGAAGAGAGAUCGCGAAAUAUUCCCGUGGCAUCUGCAUAUGCCCUAGAACAGACCACCCGCCGUCGUCGGUAUCAAUUACCCGUUCGAGCGCGCACCCGGUCUCCGGGCCCCCGUCUACAGCGCGUAUCUCAAAAAGCGGACUGCAACGUAAAACGGAAAGAAAGCCAGGAACGAGUCACGAGAGACGUGCGAGGGGUAGGGUAGGACGAAGCGGGAUAUCAUUUUCCUCGUUUCCUCGGCACACAGGAAAAUAGGCCAGACACAAAGUGCAUGCAACGGUAGGUUACUUCGAUGUAUCUCUCGUAAGCUGAAAAAGCGAAGCACAAGAAAUAGCGAAAAUAAACGAGACGUGUGCUGAUGAGCAGCAAAAAGGGAUCGGGGCGAGCGAAAAAGAAUGGCGCACCCAGUUUCCGAAUGCAAUUAUGUUAGCAAAAUGUAUGAAAGUAUUAAAUAUUCCUUUAAUGUUUCCAUCCGCGCCGAAAAAAAAGGUUUUACAUACGAAAGCGGAAAUCAUUAUACUUGUAGUGUUUAAAAACAAAAUUCUCGAUCUAUCGGACAAAUGAAAAAAGAGUCUUGUUUUCGAUAGUCCAGAAUUAGUUGCAAUAUACAUAAGAAUAUAGAAGAACAUGUAGCGUUAAAUUUUCUUCUCUCUUGUUUCUUCAUCUCGCGGAAAGUCUACGCGUAGCUCAAGACGAUAAAAAGUUAACUUCGUACCACUUGAAUCUUUUGCACAAGUGAAAAGAGAAACGCGAGAAGUUAUGAAAAUAAGAAGAUACUGACCCACUCUUGAUAUCGAGCGUUCUUUCCUUGGCAUAGAUUCGCUUGAUGCACGAGUAGUCAAAGGAUCUAUAAACUUCGGCUGCUUCUCGGAAGGCGAUUCUCUGUGAAUUUACGUGGAACAGGAACAGGUUAGCUCCCGUCCUCCGUCAGCAAGCUAAUAUGUAUCGUUUUCUCGAAAGUUGCCGGGGUUUAAUCUUUCUACUUAGUUCCGGGCUAACGAUAUCAAUGUGCACGCGUAUAACAUCUGCGAAUCUAGAAAGGUUUAUCGUACACGAAUGCGUUUGACGUGAAGAAGAUAGUAUUAAUUUACAUAAUUUUAAUGGAAAAUGCGUUUUCGUGGCAUCCUUUUUAUCGUGGAAUACGGUUCUCGUGGGAUUUCCUCUCGAAACGCAUAAUGGUAGAUGCACUGCUAGUCAAUCGAUGCAUGCAGCCCGGCAGCUUCGCGCGGAACCGACUUUACUCGAAUUUGCAUGCGGAUCCUCCUUCUCCCAGGAUACCCGUUCGCUGGCUGCCCGCAGGUUGCUGCAUCGACUGGUCAACCUAUACUUACUUACGUCAUAAAAUGUUCCGGCAUAAAGGAGAAGAUAGCGAAACCUAUGAUACACGCGCGUGCAACGUUUCUCGAUCGAUGCGCCCGCGGUUGGUAUCAAUUUGCAUUUUGUAAUACUAACUUUUAGAAUCUUUUGCGGCGGUACAAGUUUGCGCUAUGAAAAGAACGUAACUUUACAGACCAGCGGACUGUAAGCGAUGCGAUUUGAAGGCACGCGGAGGAGCGCGAGUGAAACUUUGCUACGUUUAUACUUGAUCCGUUUGUAUUCUUAUUGCGGACGACCGCGACGCACUCGCGUCUUUUCAACAGAUAUUUGGCAAUGAAAAAUAUUUUUUUUCUUAUAUCUCUUAAUUCGUACGCGAGAAUUAUUGUAUGGCAAAUUACUAUACAGAGGCGUGCACAGUCAUUUCGCUCUCUCGAGACCUUAGGCCGUAAACGUACUGUAGCUCGAGGUCGAACGCGUUACCCGAUCGAUUGAUCUAUAGACCUGACGGUAUCGUGGUAACCGCGACUUUAUCUGAAUUUGCGUGCAAACGAGGUUAACCACCGGGUCUUCUCCCACCGUCGAGGCCUUUCCCACCCCGUUUUCUCCGUUGACCGGAGCUCGCCGGGUCGGCUUCGGUUCGACCCGUACUCGCUUGCCCUACACCAUAUAAAGCGCAGCGGUAUAAACGAGAGGAGGGCGAUGGCACACCUACGACAGGAUGAGGCCGGACCGAGACGCGCCAUCUCGAAGGUACGGUCGCCGGCCAAACUCUCUCUCUCUCUCUUUUUUUCGUCUGGUUUCCUUCUCGCUGGGGCCAUUCCUUACUGGGACAUUUUUAUGACCGACAUUUUCGCCGUCGUCGACCUCGUCGCCACCCCGCCCGCUUCGUGCAAUCCUCGACGAAAAAAAGAAUCUCGCCUUGGGUGAAUCCCUCCGCGGCGCGGCGCAAACAGAAGCCGGCAGGAAGCGAUUAUUUAUAACGGUGCGAUCCUUUAACUCGCACAGAGAAACCACGUGCACGAGCCCGCGCGGUGCUGCUGUCUUUUUGUUGCGCGCCGGCCGGCGCCGCGGAGGGACACUGGUAUACCUAUAAUAAUAUCGCCGGGAUCGUCCGCGGCGACGUGUCGAAUGUAUGUACGCGGGCGCAUGUUGCAAAGAAACGGUAAUCGAUACGGCGCCUGCGAGAAAUGUGGGCGUUACUAACAUUACACACUGUCGCGCGAUGCUGGCGUGAUAAACCAUUGAUAAGAAGCAGCGGUGUUUUAUGCGUACAAGUAUUAUUUUCACAUAUUUAGUUUAGAGUAAAACGAAAGCAGCCGCGGUUUCAUGAAUAAGUUUCAUCGCAUAAGAUAAGGAACAUUGAGUAAAGUCAAAUUAAACGGUUAAUACGGCUUGUUGGAAAGAUAUUUAAUGGAACAACAUAUUUUUUUCUGAGGGCUAUCACCUUGCGAAUGAUCACGUUCUACAAAUCAAUAGUCCUUUCGACGAACGAACAGGUAGGUAGGUCCUCCUCGAUUUGUGAGUCUGAUCUUUGAUCAAGAAAUCGAUCUCGACUCAUUAUACCGCCGGUCCUUCUCAUUAUCGUGCACACAUUUGUUACUUUGUUGUGAGAAAUGAAACGGCGGGGUCUCUGCCCACGAGCUUGCACGCGGCUGCACGUUUUAAGGACUUGGAGUCACGCGACGUUUUAUCGAAUGCAAUAACGAGUUAUUUAUCCCCUUUCUGUGUCUGCCGCCAAUUUCGGAAUUAAAUCAUGCUCAGGCCGACAUUAUCUAAUUACGUUCGAAUAAGACGAUCCGAUUUCACGCAAUUUAUCUAUCAAUACUUUAUCGAGAAAUAUAGUAAAGUAUUAAAGAUGAAUUAUUAUGUGUAUAAUAUAUAAAUGUAAAACAAAAACGAAUGAUAAAGCACAAAGCGCAGAAAGGAGAAAUACAAGUCGUUAUUGUCUGUAUAAAAAUAAUAUCUAGAUAUUCAUAAUGAAGCCAAUUGUUAUCAGCCAGAUGUAUUUUAACGUAACAAGCGCAACAGCUAGACCAGCGAGAUGCGGCGACCUUUACCGAGAGACUAUUGCGGAAUUUCAUUGAGCGCGAAAAACGCAUCGCGCCGUGGCCGACGCGGCGCGACGUGGCGGACAAAAAAUCUUUAGCCCGAUGAAGCGCGGGUGCCCGAUAGCAGCAGCCGCGUGGAACGCGAAUGCGCGAGAAGGGAAAGAGUGCUAAUACCUAAAUAAUUGCCGGCUGAACCUGAUAUGAUUUAAUAGCGUUCUUUGUAAAGGGGAGGUUUGGGUGGCACGCGAGGGUGGAGUAUGGCGGAAUGUUGGGUGCAGAUGAUGCUGCGGUGCGGUUGGGCUCUCUCUCUCUCUCUCUCUCUCACGUGGCUCGCCAAAAAAGAAAGCCAACCGUGGCCGUUCGUGGGCGAUAAACGCGGCCGCGGUCACGAGCGACGCCGAAAAUCCUCCUUCCUCCUAGUUAUCGUUGCUCUCGGCGCCGCGCCGUUUCCACGAAUGCUAGCGAAUGCGCCACGUGUUAGCCUGCGGUCACCUGGAAUCACCUGCGCAAUUUGUGUUUUAUUAUCCUCAAGUUGGCACUGUACGCGAUCGCGUACGAAAAUUGCCGACAUUGCCCGGCAGUAAUGUUCGCUUUUACGGUUUUUCAAUGCGCCGCGGGACAAACUGCGAUAUAUCACAGAUCGCCUAAAAGCGAUAAUCGUCAUUCGUAUGACUCUCGAAAAUGUUCAGUUCUAGUUCUUUUUCAAAACCAAAAGUUACGAUCGAUUGUAAGAAGACAAACGCAUAUUAUUAAUGUUCCUUCUUCUUCCUCUCCCUCGCAGGGCUUUGGAAUCCCGGAUCGAAGAAAUAAAAGUGGUUUAAAAAGUCACAAGUUUAUGAAAUUUCGUGACAGACUCUAGUUGCUGUACGGAUCAUUUCCGACCUCUUUCUAUUGUUAUAUUGCAUUAGUUUAUUAGAUAACGUCGCCGUCGUGAUAUCGUUAAGGUAAUCAAGUUGAAGACGUCUCGGCUUACGUUAGAUACACCACGCCAAUGUCUGACAGCUACGACGUACUAACCAUGAUGCAUGCAUGCGUGAAUAUGAUAUACCUUAUACGACGGAACUCGCGGAGAUAGAGCGUGAAGAUGUAUAUCUCCCGGCAGUCACGCUUUAUUUGAAAUAUUCACCAUUUUCGUAAAUAACGUGUAUCUACGUGCUAACGUAAGACGUAUCGUAUGGCGACUUGUAAGUGGUAUUGCUAUGUUAUAUAAUCAGCAUCGAUUAAAUAUAUUAAGCAUAGAUAAAAAUUUCUCUAUUUUCGCUUGUUCAAUUUUGUUUGCAUACUCUUCACUCACAUUAUUAUUCUUUUUUUUUUUUUGUUAUUUUUGUAUGCUAUUUUUUUCUAUGUUAUUCUGUUUGUUCUUAAAAAACUUGCUAUAGAGCACUAGUAAACUCUCUUUCUGUCUCUUUGUUUAAGUGACGAUUAUUACGAUCUACUUUCCUAUGCACGAAUAAAAUAUCCGCAUGCAUCUCUUAAUUUCUCACAAAUUCAGAAUCCAAAUGUUCAUUUUCUCAACGUGUGCAAAUAUAAUCAAGAUUAGAUUAGUACGCCGAGGCAACCAUCGCUGCUUUCGCAAGAUCGUUGUUUUUCUUAUGAAUGUCUAUAAAAUCCCAAUUUCUCUCGCGUUUAAGUAGCGAAGUUUCUCGGAGUUCAUUUCGUUCACGGAGAAAGGACGGCUUUUCGCUUGCCUGAGCCAAAGUAGCUGGCUUUUGUGCUCGAGAGCUACUGUAGGAUAGUCGCGAAUGUUUACUCGAGGUAUCCGACGGUUCGACGGCAAUAUCAAAGCAACCGCGACGACGUUUGUUGAGCGCGACGAUAUUUCGAUUGUUUUUAACGACAAAACCAUCGUUACAUUGCUUAUUUAAUUUAAGAAACGGUGUGUGUGAGAGUGUACAUACACAUACGUAUAUGUAAAUUAAAGGAUAAGUUCCACUCUAUUUCUUUUUCAUUGUCUAUGGAUUUCAAAGAGAGAGAGAGAGAGAGAGAGAGAGAGAGAGAGAGAGAGAGAGAUCUUUCUCAUUUUCCACAAACACACACAUAUUUUGGAACAUUUACGAUGCGAAACACGUAAAAGUUUCAUUCCUAUAAUUAAGAGGAUAGAAAAGGCGAUAAGUAUGGAGAAAGAGACUAGUGAAGGAGAGAGAAGAGGCAUCCACUAGAAGUACACAGAUCACAGAAAGAGACUGAAUAAAUUCGAUUUGUUGGAUUCAGAAUUACUAAAUACUCUCCACGGUAAGACAAUGGAAAAUCUCGAGUAUUACAAAGUAAUAAUACCAAAUAACGAGUACCAGUACGAUAGUUCCUGCUGCACGAGGGAAAGGAAGAGCGCAGUCUAGUAUAAACAUCUCGUCUAUCUAGAGAGGACGAGACGAUUUGUGUACGGCAUCCUAAACCCAGCAUUACUGAUUUCGUCUCGUCGUUUCCUAUUGUGUAAAUUACUUCGAAAGCAUUCGCCUUUCUCGUAAUCUCUCGUGUAUACUUCAACAUAGAUAGUUUCUUGCUAAUUCGUGCUAAUUUUGAAGAUACGAAGCGUGUAAUUUUGCACGUUUUGAUCGUGAUAAUUAUCAGUUAAUUUAUUUUUUCUUUCACGUUUGAAUCAUAAAUCAGCAAUAGUCUCUUCUCGAACGGCAAACAAAUUUACGUCGGCUCAAGAUUGAUCAAUUAAAUUGAAUUUAAUUUGCAUAUAAUUUUUACUUCAUGCGUGACGUAUUUUUCACAGAGCGACUAUUUUCUUCGUUUUAUAUUCUUUUAAGCGAUUUUUAAUGGAUCAGUAACACGAGCUUUGUAACGUACGGUUGAGAAUAUAAUCACGUAGAUGAAAUAAAUCGGUCAGAUGUAAAUACAGUCAUUUCUCAUUACGAACGGAUCGUUUGCUACAUCGUUGAUAAUUUUCAUGCAGAUUGGCCGUAGAUUGUUACUUGGCGGAUUGUAAUCUGUUAACGGAUAAAAUGCUCGUAGAGAAUUAUAUGCUGACGGGGAAGAAAGUCGCUAAUGGUAGCAAUGAAAAGCGCGGUUCCUUCUGCAUCUCGUAAAUCGUUGAUUUCGUUUCUGCCGACGCAUGCAUAUGCAAAGAGAUGCAAAAUUUACCGAGUGCAGAAACGCGUUGGCAGAUCCUUCUAACAGUCGCGGCGCAUGCGGUAGUAGCGAUACGCAAACGAUCUGCUCUCGGCUCGAUUUUCGAGAUACAGCUAUAUAAACUGCUGUAUAUCACAUUAGAUCUUAUUGCCUUAAGUAUACCUACAUGGCGUAAACGUCGCCGCAUGAUGUUAUGACAUUAAGCGCCACCCACCGUCUUCUCACAUCCGCGCUAAGCCCCGUUGAAUAUCCGGCAAUCAAAGCCAACGAACUAGCGCAAUAUAUCUUCCCUCGGUUACUCUAAUAUCCUGUCCUUCUAUUUUCGUUUCUGCUUAUUUUUAUUUUGUUGGCGCCAUGCAGGAUGUUGCUGUCAAUAAACUGGAUUCCCACAUCGUUUAAUUUGAAAUUUAUUAAGGGCAACUAAAAAAAGAUUUUAUUGCAAAUCAUAUUUUUUUCACAUAUUUUUAUUCUAUCGACAGCUAUCGAAACCGAUGUCGUAGUACUUAUAGAAAUUGAUUUAAUAUUACGUAUUCUGUCAGCACAAUGAAUUUUUAGCCGUACAAUCUUUUUGGAUUAUUUAUUAUAGCAAAUAUACGAAUCGAUAUGCAAUCCGGAAAAUAGCGCGAAUGAUUCCUUCUUUUCAACAUAGGCAAAGUUCUAUAGCAUCGAGAGUUUUCCGUUUGCUAUCGGAAAAACUCAUUUUACCAAGAAAGGUUGACCUUCAGAGAGCAUGGUCGAUACUCGAGAAACAUCAAAGGGAGCUGUAUCCCGAUUGGGGUGAAAGAGUCGUACGCGCGGAAACGCGAGAGAAAAGCAUCGUUUAGCGAUGAGAGACGACAACCUACAGGGACAAGUCCGUGUUUCCCCGUGAUUUCCAGGAAAUAGGUAUCACCAAAUAAAUAUCGUCGUCUACCUGUGUCACACGAUAAGAAGACGAUCGUGCCGAGUGGAGAGAAUCGACCUAUUUCGCCUUUUAUUUUCUUUACACCUCGUUUCGUCGCUUCUCUUUCUCUUCUGUCGGUCUUCUCUAUUUUUGUACAUUUUAUUAAUGGCCAUUUAUUCUGGCCGGUUGAAGUUUACAACUCGAAACUGCACGACGACGAUGACGUGGAUAGAGCGUGGAUAGAGUCCAUCCGUUCGCGACGUAUGGAGAUUCGAACUUGUGUACCUAUUGCGCUAGAGUCGUCGAGAUGGAGUCGAACGCUCCCGUAUUUCAUUGAGGUACCAAUUGAGUUCCGGGUUUCCGCUCUGAUCUUUACCGUUUCGAUCUCGUCUCCUGAAUCCUACAAACGUCGCAGCUCGCUCUGCACUCGUACAACGCGGACGUACACGCUCCCUAAUUGCGUAGUUACGUAACGAGCCUGUAAUCCACCUCUCGACCGGCUUUACUUUCGAAAGACGAUGGCGCCGCGGCGCUAAUCUCAAAUUGCUAAUUCCGGCUGGCUAAUUCAAUUAAGAGAAUGGUUCCGCGCGGCAUCUGAAAGGCGGUCUAAAGAUUGCGGUAGGAAGACGAGGCGUUUCUAAAGGGCCACGCGGUAACGUUUUCUUGGUCGUGUACGUUUAGAGGAGGGUAUAAUGGUAACGUAACUAACUACUUAUCGCUGCUACGCGAGACUGCUUCGGACCGGACAGAGGAGAAUCGACCUGGCGGUUCUCGAGGUAACUACUGACUAAAAGGCACCGGCUCGCUUCGGUGCCUACACGUUCGAAUCAUCGGCACUUGAUAGGAACCACUAGCGGAACGAGAGAAUGAUGGGCUAUGUGGUCCGAGCAGGAUGUACGCGGGAUGCAAAGUAGAAUGAGUUCGAGACGGCGAUCCAUGAAGAGAAACGGCGCGGCGCGGUGCGGCGGCGACGGCCGACUCGCCAAAGUAAAGUUGCCAAAUUCAUCGUUUGUUUGCCCAUCGAUUCGUUCAUGUCGGAAACUGAACAAACUCGAAGAUGCUUGGUCUACAAUUAGUUGAAGAAAAUUGCAUUGUCCGCGAUAUUACUGCGAUUUUCAAUUAGCGGAUAAAUUGCGGAAGCAAAUGUAUCUAAAUUUUAACUACAUUGUGGAAGGAAAAUAAUAUUAAAUGCUUAAAUAAGAUUUAAUGAGUGAAUUUUGUUGAUUUGUGGCAUUACUUGAAAACUGUGACUUUAUAUAAGAAAUGCUUUUUAUUCGAAUAUAGAGAUACUAGAAGAAAAGUGAAUCUUACUGACAAUAGGAUUGCAGUUGUUAAUCACAUUAACUAUCGGAAUGACGAUUCGCUUCCGUCGUUUUACUUUCAAUCGCACUUUAAUCUCAACUUUUGAUCAACAAAAUCAGGACAAUAGAAUUGAUAUUUAAAAGUCGUAAUUUAUCGGUUCGUCUCACGUCUGAACGAAUGCCAAUGUUAAAGAAUUGUCGGCGGAAUCGAUGCUAACGACAUUAAAAUACCGGACAACCGAUUCUCAUUAAAAAGUUUCGAUUAAAAUGAAUCCUUUUAGCGUAAGAGUUGCAUCUUCGUCUACUAAGGUCCUAACCAUCUCCCUUCAAAAUGGGCUCGGCCGCGCUCGCCCUUACGUCGAGCCUGACAAAAAAUCUAAUUAGAAGUGGAUUAAAAUUUAAUCACUCGCUAAAGGAACUUAUCCUGGGCGCUAUCGGUGGGUGGUGUCCUCUUCAUUUAAUUGUAGCUCAGUUGCUUUACUCCCCCGUCCUUUCCGGUUUCGCCGUAUCCCUCGAUUAUACCAGACUUUGUUUUUUUUUCUUCUCCUCCUCGCACUUUUUCGUGCCACGAUCGAGCUUCGCCGGGCAACAAUUUACUUUGCAUAGACAUUAAACCCUGUUACUUAAUCGAGCUACCGUCGUCGUCCCGCCUUAAGCGCCAUGGAUGGCAACACUUUCUUGCGUGGGCGGAAUCUAAAGGCUCCCGACUGAACCCAUCCUCCAACGUAAUCCUCUUUUGACCGGUCGCGUUGCAACACGAUGCGUACGUGUGCGAAAAAAGAGGAAUUUACUUUGCAAAUUUACCGUGUACGAUUCGAAGUGGACGCGUUUGUGUAUGGCCCUAUCGUGUUUCAUUGCCAUUUAGCCCCGUUUGACGAGUGGCUCGUUUUGAUUUUCUGCGAAUCGAGGCAGAAAGUAUUGAAUGCCGAAGUUGGUUAUCAAUAAUACACCACGCUUCGCUAAUUUUCGCUCACUGCGCACCAACAUCGUAUUUUUUUUAUUUUUUAUGUUCGUCUGACUGCGUUCACUGAUAGUCAAUAAUUGGUGUCGGUAAUAUUACUGAGAUUUUUACAUUUACGUAUGUACGAAUAUCGAAAAAAGGGGUAUCCUUAUUUAAAAGACAAAUUACCACUUAUGCCUUACAUUGUAACAAUGAUAAUGUUUUUAUAAUGGACGUUUUUAAUUAUUUAUUGACAAGCUUUUAAUUUUACAUAUAAUUAAUUUUUAAUAUCUUUUUUAAAUAUAUAUUUUUUAAAUAUCUUUUGUUUUCCAAACAGAAAAUGCACUUUAUUGAAUCUCUAUAAAAAUCGUUCACCCAUUUCCGGAAAUAACACUUUGUGAUUAGUCGAGUGUCGACAAAACAGACACGUACGACUAAUUUAUGGAACGCUUGAUUAUAAUAUCUUGACUAUCGACCUGUUAUUUUACCUCGUUGAACUUCAUAAUACAAAUUAUUAUAAUUGCAUAGCGUGGUCACUACGUCUUGCCACAAUGUGUGUCACAGAAUCGGCGGUAUAGUGUGCUAUUUCUUGUGAGAAAAUUCGAUUUAAUCACCCCCCUCUCAUUUGAUAACCUAUCGCUCGCGCAAUUCACAACCUGCAUGGGCCCACGUGCGCACGUAAAGUUUCUUAGGCAACUAGGUCACUCUUCAGGACGACGCAUCAGCGCCGAUGUUUCUGUACGGGAAUCUCAUCUCAUCGGCGCUCACUUCCACCGGAUAACGAGAGAGUAAUUGAGGAGAAGAUUAGAUUUUGCUGCGGGGCUGGGCGGGUGCGCGUAUUCAACUCGGAGACUCACGCGUUAUACAAGCUAUCAGUAAAAAGAUGACCUCGUUACACUGUCGCUCCGUUAAGCAGAUAUGGUCCGCAGUAACGGGUUACAGUCGCGUGUCGUAAGUGGAACUUUCGGCGUGGCCGGUUACCGUUUAACCGUCGCCAACCCCUAUACCGGAUUCCUCACGGGGAAAUUCUCUCUGGUAUAUAGGAAGGGAUGAGAGCCUGACUCUCAACCUCCGCCAUCAAAGAUUCAGUUGCUCUCGCACGCACCUCUGCGGCUUGCCCACGACCUCACGCCGACCCCAAAUCCUGACCCCCUCGUUCGUAUCUCGCGACUAAGCUCGACGUAACCGCCAUGCGCUAUUAUACCGCUGUCGCCGUAUCGACCUCGGCGCUUCCUGAUCUCAUCUUCCUCGCACCUAUUAAUUUCGUAGCCGCGAUAAUGCUCACGCGAUAUCGUGUAAAACCAUUGCGUAACGUUCUCGCCAAAUCGUUUUCAUGUUUUAAUUCGCCACUGCUGUUUUUAGUGCGGUAUAAAAUUUAUAUUUUAAUAUUGUACGAGAGGCAUAAUAUCCUAUUUCACGCUUGCACCAGCAUUUGUUAAAUAUAAAUGCACUUUUUAAUAUUAUUGCAUGAUUGAGUGCUUUGGAAUUGUCGAGUUACGGAAUCGUUAAUUAUGCCUUUCGACGUCUGGUGUUAUAAUAAUAUUUUGCAUUGUUCUUACAUAUUUGUCUAAAAAAAAUUGUUUAUGAUUAGUAGGAAUAAAUUAAUUACUUAGAGAGAGAGAGAGAGAGAGAGAGAGAACAUGAUAACGGAAAUUCUUGCAUGUUAACGUAAAAUGAUAUUGUCUUUAAAAUGAAACGUUCACAGACGUUUCCUAAUCCGGGCAUAAGCGGAGCUUGUCGUGUCAUGAUAAUCCCAUGGAACGAUAGAGGGUGCGAACUCCCCGAAGUUGAAUAUACAAGGAAGGGUAAUUAAUUGACAAGCCUUAUACGUCAACCGCAUGUUCACUAAUCCACCCGCUGUCAACUCUGAAAGCUUCUUAAGGAGAUUUUUCUGUAAACUUUAUUCAUCGCCAAAAUUAAUUCGCUACGUGUAAGAUCUUGUUAUUAAAAUAUUACAAUCGUAAUAAUGUAAUGUAUGAAAAGACAAUAACUAAUUAAUCGUGUAGUACAAGUGCAAAAAACGAUAUGCCUGUAACGAUUGCUCUUUUCAAAGUAAUAUUUUUUUUCUGUCGCACUACGAUUUAACAAGAUUGAUGAUGAGCAUGAGUUUUACAAUUACGUUGACUUUCAACAUAUUCGCCCCGACGUCUUGCUGAGCGGAAGAACGAAAACGGCCAAGUUCGUGGCGUGGGUGGUCGACAAGGAAGCCGCGAAUUCGAGGCGCGAAUACAUCACUGAGAUCCUGUGCGUGUAAACAGCCUGCAGCCUGCAGCGGAUCGCGAAUUAACUCUCUCUCUCUCCUGGAGAUACUCGGAGCCACCGUUGACUUAUUCUCCCAGAGGGAAUUCUCGAGUAGAAAAACAAGAUUAUCCCUCCUGCGGGAUAUAAAAAAGAAUAUGCCGCCAUCGUUCUUUUGGGACGGUGCCACUGCGGUGCGAUAUCUUUCAGUUACAGAAAGUGAUAGUUCGAUUUCGCGAUAGUUGUUGAAUGAACUAAUAAAAAAGUGCUUCGAUUUAUUCACAUUUCGAUAAUUUAUAUAUGAUAUCAAUAUUUGCUUUUCUCUCUCUCUCUCUCUCUCUCUCUCUCUCUCUCUAUCUAUCUAUCUAUUUUUAAUUUGAUUAAAUCUGUGAAAACUGUAUUCUUUUUUAUUGAGAUUUUCAUAAAAAGAGAUUUCGCGAUAAAUUGGCAAAAAAACGCGUAAAUUGUCGAUCGAUGAAACUGAACAACACGCGUUCUGCCUAUGAAUGGAAUACAAAACUCGGCGUGCGAAACAAACACCGUGCGUGGCGUUUCGAUGCCACGUAAAAAAUAAUACAUACUCAUAAAACAUUGCGCACAUCGUUAAAAGCGCGCCAAAGCCAUUUGGAAAUUUAAAGUCCGUGCCGGAGCUCGAAUAAUUGGCAAUGAAAAAGAAGUUUUGCCACAUCGAAAAAAAUGGUGUCUGCUGCCAAUUAGAAAUUUAAUUACGACUCACCGUUCACACACGAUCCAUGGUGCAGCACGUUGAGUCACGCGAAAGCAACAUUUGCAAGUUGCUUCGUUGCGCAAAUCAAUUUUAGUACUCAAUUUUUCACGAUAAUUGUAAAACGCAUAAACGGCUAUUACGUUUUAUAAUGUUGUAGCUAUUAAAACUUUAAAUUCAAUCGCAAAUUACGUAAAUUUGCUCUGGAAUUUUACGCGGCGCUAUCAAAAUUAAAGAUCUUUGAAGUAGGAAAGAAGAAGUUUGGAAGGAGCGGGGAGAAAUCUCCUUAUGUCAAGAGUAGUUAUGCCGGAAGAAGUCGAAGGCGCGUGGCGCUUAAGUUUUAAGGAGUCAACAUCGGACCUUUUGCCUCCCUCUUCGAUGUUUAUUUAAAAAUCUCGCCGCAGUGAUUCGAUCCGGCAGACCCUGGCGAGAUUCUGUUUGCAAGUUAAUGCAAUGCGCGGACGAGAAUGGAAGGCACGCGAAGACGAUAGGGACGAGGGAAAUAGUUCCGGGAGUGUUUUCUCUAACUACCUGCGACGAAUUAAGGGAAGGCCAGGAGCGAAAUUAAAAGAGUACCCGAGAACUCGAGGGGUUCAGCACGUUCCAAUUAUUUGCGCGAGGCGUAAGAUGUGAGAGCCGACUGAGGAGUCGACAUUUUUUUCUCCGUCUUUCCUUUAUUUCUCCAUUGAACCAGCUUUCGUCGUUUCAUUUUCUUCGUAGCGUUUGCCGAGCGAUGCGGAUGCGCUAUGGGUAGAAGACCGGAGGGAAAGGAUAGAUAGGUAGGGUAGGGAGGGGGAGCGAGCAAAGAGAAUUAUUUGGAUUACUUUUUUGCGCUCGGCUUCGGCGUGCGAUAUCAGGAGAGAAGAGCGAAACGAGGGGACAACGAGAUGUGGAACUCGCGGAACUCAAUACGGCGCAUAAACUACGACGCGAAGGACCGUUGUGGAGUGAGACGAACGGCGGGCAGGAAUUUAAUUUCAUUAGCCAAUGAAUUUCUUAGUAAAUCGCGUGUGAGCCGCCUGAUGUAGGAUCCAGGAUCCGGUGAUAUAGAAACGUGAGGUCGGAAAAGAAAUUAAACGAAGAGAACGGUGGAGGAGAGAGAAGCGCGCUCAGGCAGGAGGUAGAACGGGAGAGAAAGAGGGAGGGGGAAAGAGCUGCAUAGAGAAAGAGAUAGGCGCUGGGAAACGUUCCGGGAAGAGGAUACACAGAGACGGAUAGAAACUCACGAAGCGGAGAACCAGUUCGACAUCGGCGUCGAUCCGUAUUCACGCAAUGUGAAAUACUUGCUUGGUAGGAUACUCCGAGGAGCAGGCGAUUAGGGUAAUGGCUGUGUUGCUAGUUAUUUUUAUUUUGUUACCACGCCGACUUUAUUUUAUUCCCUCGCGAUCCGGCGAAAUUAUAUGGGAACGUGUCACGAAGAGUCUCAUCUCGGAUCGCGGAGGCUUUGCGGUUUGCCGUAAAAAAGUAAGCUAUAAGAAAGGGUGGGACGCGUUUUUCUACGCGUUUUUUCCGGACGCAACCACUUCUGGCCUCAUAGCCGGUUUUCCUCGUUCCGAUCGUUAAAAGUCGAUAUCGAGAGGAAGAAACGCCGGGACGUAAACCCCGGGGUAAGUGCAACGUUAUUCGAGCAUAGAGAACGUCCGGGAGCACCGGCGGCAGUUACACGAGUCAUAUAGCACCGGCGAAAGCGAGAAAACCUCCGCGAUCGUUCCCAGUUCUCUUUCGAGUACCAGAAAACGAGACUUUGAUGGCGGCACAAUUCGAAAACAAUUGUGACAUAAGUUACGUCAAUCUAAGAUGUCUCUUUGCGCCCAACUUUUCAACGCAAAAGUGUCCGCACAAUUUCGUGCCACUCUGCAAUUCUGCGGUGGGAAGCAUUCGUCGAAUUUAUUUCGCCAAAAUUCGAUAUGUUUUAAAGGACAUGAUACGAUUUUUGACAGAUCGAUCGCAGCGGUUUUGUUUUCACCUUCCGGCCGUGAAUGAUCCUGACGUUUCCUCGAACUAAUAUCUACGCGACGGGCAUUGGUUCCUCGCGGAUAAAUGAGAGCGUGUUAGUCAGCAAAGGACCGAGGGUAGCCCCCGGGGGUAAAUGAGUGCGAGCUGGCCACGAGGGUCAGAGGGGGUUACAAACGAUCGAGCGAAUCGCCCGCAUUAGUCUUAGUCAGAAUCAGAGAUAAGCCAAAUGAGGGAUAGCCGCAUGAAAAACAUUGGCCCGUCACCGCGCAACCGGAUUAUUCACCAGCUGCAAACUCAUCUGAAUAAUUUACGUGCCGCUAUGAGGCUUAUUGCGGAUCAAAAAGCAUGAUAAUGCAUAACCAGAUCAAGUAUAAAAUUCGAGUGGAUAGACAAUUACAUCCUUAUUUCGAUUUUGUUUCUAUUUAAUCUUUGUAAUCGUUAAUAUUAUUUUAUGAUUGAUAUAUUUCCAAAUUAGCGCUUACAAGUAAACUUACAAGUAUCGAUAUAAUCGAUAACAUGAACAUUAUUCCAAUAAGAAUCAAUUUAUUGAAAAUCUGGUCGAGUUAUCUUUAUUAUUAUCUUUAUUACAUGUUUAAUAUAAAUUUAUACAAAGGGUAAAAAAAACAUGUGUUUUUCCCUCAAUAAUAUUAUUAAAGAUAAAUUUUUGAAAUAGUUGUGCUUCGUGGCACAACGGUAUGUUGAUUUAAACAUUGCAUUCUCGUGAUAUCACAACUUAUAUUAUCAUUUUAUACAUAAUAAAUCUUAGUAACAUCCGUUUACUCAAGCUUUUUAUCUACGGGAAUAUAUGCGAGGGUAUAAAAAAUCCAUCCAAUACCAUUAUCUAGUGUCACGAAAUAAACGUUGCUGUUAGGAACCGAUGGUAUUUACGAUCUCUACGGUAGAUGAAAUCGGAGAUCUCGUAGAAAGAAAUCUCCGUUGCCACACCGUGGAAUCCACUCCGUGCUGCUUCACCACUCGCGCGAAUGUCGGCUGAAUGUUUCGUGUAAUCUAGGAAAAAAGGCUCCUCAUAAUUCUUUGACCAAAGUUUGUCGGGCGUCUCUUUUCCUUUCGAACGCUACGACGGAUCGACAGUCGACGACUCAUCCAUUCGGGCCACUCCGCAAAUAACGUCAUAAGAUAGACCAUCGGGAACGUUCUUCUACACGUUAUAUACCGGGUGUAUAAAAUAUGGUAGGGAGGCUGGAGACGAUCGUCGUUCUCAUACAAUAACAUCCGCGGAUCUCUUAUGGCGCUAUCCUCGGCGAUCCAGUGGCAAAACCCGGCGAAUGUGGGGGAAGAAAAUGGCGUAGGUGAGCUAUCGGCGAUUCCCGGACAUAAAUCGACAUGUACUUACCGAAUUGCUUCCGAAUCGUUCCUUUAUAUCCCAUGUUCCCCGCAAGUCUGCCCUCGAGCUUUUUCUCUUCGAUCCAUGCUGUUCUCGGAAUUCUGUUAACUCGUUAUAGAAAUGUGAACAGUUGCACAUAUAAAGGGUCUUUUGUAACUGUGUCAAAUAGCAGGCUCAUAUUUUAUUUUUUUAUAAAUUUAAAAUUAAAUUCUUCGUGACGAGAAUUAUAACUAUUUUUUUUUAAUAUCAUUUUAUCAUUCAACAGUACUGAACUAAUUCUAUUGUGAAAAGUAUACAAAUUCAGAUAUAAAAUCAAUAUAAAAUAUUUUAUUUUUAAUAUUCAUAAACAAUAGAUAAAACAUUUGCAUAUCGUUUUUCUUGUAGUAUAGUGAAUUAAAUUACGAAAAUUUUGUUCUUAAUUAUUUUCGAUUUUGAAGAUUUGUUUCUUCUUUACUCAGCUUCUUUACUCUUCCAAAACUAUGAUCUUCGAACGGUUUGUAAAUAUUACACUGGACAAAUAUGGGUUUCAAAUAAAUGUACGACUGUAUUGGUGGCUCACAUUGGUCAAAUAUUGUUGAUCCUGUGUCUACGUUUUCUCAUAUUGUUGAAUUUAUUUGUAAUCAAUCUUGGUUACUAGUGACAAUUUUUAUAAAAAUAUAACAUGAUUUUUUUUAAUUUGUCAAAAUUUAUUUGAAUGUGUGAAGUUUUAAAGUUGUACAAUCUCAAUGCCAUCACUCUGAUGUUCCACGCAUUUCUGUUUCGCCAACCGGUCAUCUCGCGAGCGAACGACGCGCAAAGCUAUUCGGCUGAAAUUACUUUCUCAUCGUCGUCAAAUAAUCGAAUCGCGCAGUUUGGGAACGCUUAGGUUGCUACGGCAGUCAAAGAACUUUUUCGGCAGCGCUGAAACUAUCCGCCGGUUGUUGAGCAUCGAAUACCAGCAUUCGCGAUCGCUUUGCGUGGCGCAGUGAUUGAUUCGUCUCUCGGCUGCGAAACGCAGCCGUUAAACGUACGUACGUGUACACAUACCAUCCCCGAUGCGGCACGGUCGCACGCUCGGGAUUCCAACCCCGUUGAAAUGAAACUUCGCCGCGGCGUCGACAUUCCCCCGGUGCCUUUAUUAAAUUGGAAUUUAAUUGCUCGGCCCCGCCGCUCCAUUACCCCGUAUGUAUCAUGCGCCGAUGCAAAUCAUACGACAGACGCAUGUCGCGUAGGCCGACGCGCAUACCGCGUCGUUUUACACACUGAUUUUUUGCAGUUAAUUCCACGUACUUGGGCGACAGAGCGUCUACAUAUUUACGCACGAUAAUAUAAUUACCUUUAUUAUCUUGGAGUCACAGUAAAUCACGCGCGCGCUUGCGCGCGCAAAUGUAUCAUCCAACUACUCAAUUUCCAAAGUAUCAAAUACAUGAAUGCUGAUUAAGGUCGCGUAAUUUAGAAACUGACGAUCUUUGCAAGUAGUUAAGCAGUAGUUGAGCAAGAAGCCUCACGGCAAGCGCACGAACAUUGAACUCUGCAAGGCGAUAGCGCGUGACUCCCUCUUAUCUUAUCUGGGGACAGGGAUAGGAGAGCCGGCGAGAUCCCAAUGUUUUGCUCGUUCCACAUCAUUUGUGCGGGUAACCAUCGGAAUUAGGAGUCGUGGGAGAGGCAGCGGAGUGGUAGUAGAAAGAAGCGGGCAAUCUCGGUCCGCGUGACAGGCGACUCUCGAAGCUUUCGUUCAUCCUAUCUCUCUACCCUCUUUCAUCAUCCCCCGUAGGAAGAGCAGUACUUCCGUUCAGUCCACCUCCGUAGAUCCUUUUCAAGAAGCGCCGUGAUGAAAAACACCGUGGCGCUGGCGGAGAGGAACUUCCCUCGUCGGCCAGGAGGGAAUUUCAUUAACGACCUUAUCCUACCUACUUAAAAAAACAUAGAAGAUCCCGACGACGGGACCAUGAACGAACUAGGAGAAUGGCUGAGCUCAUGAAGGAGACGGCGCGCACUUAGCCUCAUAGACUUUGAGAGAGCACGGCGAAAGAAAGGAAUUAUAGGUGAAAGACUCCAUCGGGAGGAUGAAGAUCGAGGAUUAGGCAAGAGCGUGGAGCGUAGGUAGUACAUUGAUGAUAGAAGGGACGAGAGACACGGGCAUUCUCAAUUCCGGAUGGUGAAAUGACAGGAGAAUCCUUGGAGAUGGAAACGGAUGAGGAAGAAGAGGGGGGGGAUAGGUGGAGAGUAUCACUCUCGGUGUCUUGGAGCGUAAUCAACGCAGUUGGCUGAACAGUUCGCCGCUGUAACUGCGCGAUCCCUUAGCAACGGCCGAGAGCGAUGCUCGCUGGAACAUCGUAAUGCGGCAGGUUUCUCCUAUCGCUCGGUAUGUCCGCAGUCAAUCUCAGGCACCAUCCGCUCACUGCCGGAGUCGUCGUCUGCGAGUCAAAGUGGCGAAACCCAUCCGUGAUUACCGAACGCGACCACUGAUGCGACUGCCUGACGUUCUCGGCGAACUAUUUCGAACUAACGCGUAUACAGCUCUAGGCGACUUAGUCGACCUAAAUGUCCGCCGGUGUAUGGAGUAUAGGGAAAAUGUAUCUCUGUUAUACUCUAUGUCGUGUACAAUGGGAAUUUUAUUGACCCUGCGACAUCUUAUCGUUUAAACAACUGACUUAAAUUUAGUAGAGUGCUCGUUUACUCUCUAGGGUCUCCGGAUAGCCAGAUCUCGUGAGUCGUAAAGAUGCCAAAGAGACGCUGCAAAUCAAGACGUCAAUUUCCAGGAUUCAUAUAGACGCCCGUGAUGGCGAAACGGUCGCGCACAUGAAUGGAAAUUAAACAGAACGUGAUAUACGAGGUCCUUACGUUCCACCGAGAUAGAUCGUAAAUAGAGAGCUCGCCGUGGAUGGAAGCGGAACGAUCCCACAACGCCGGUGCUUCGGACGCUGCGAAGCGUGUUUCGGAAGGGGGGUGCAAAACGGCAGCCAUCGCCAGUGUGUCCCACGGAAGCGAUGAUUCAUCCCGGAAAAAUUCAGCCUUGCACAUUUUUGACGUCGUUUGCAUCGAGUCACGAUUGAUGACCGCGCAUCUGCCGGUGGAUCGCGCGCUACUGUGCAUGAUCGACGGUCGGCUGCAGUUGAAGAGGAAAGCGGGAUUUGAUAAAGGGCGAGCUUUUUAUUGCGCCAUCCAACGUUGUGAUAUUUCUCAUAGAUGCGUGUUCUGGUCAUUACUGUCACUUCGACCCUCGGCGUAGCUCUUUUGUGGCAAAGUAAGGUCGCGAAUGCCCCAUUUUUUACCCUCGAUCUUAUCCGUUUUCAGAUGAUCUUUUGAGAAUGCGUAUCAAAAAUAUCACUUUUUAUUGAAGACGAAAGUAAUUUAUCUGCUUAAUAACAGAGCUUAUAAAAUAGGCGAUAUCCAACGAAUAACUGGAGAUUUUACGCAGCAAGUGAAAUAUGUCUGUUACGUUAUUAAUCACCUCUUGACGAAUUGAUGCGGUGUUACCUUUUCGAAAAUAUGCGAACGCGCUUAAUGCUGUUCGCGGCUAAAUCCUUUCGCAUAAAGUUGCGAACACCGCUUUGUUACUGUUAUGUAAGUUUAAUCAGCGUUAUUACUUACUCGAGGUAUAAGCUUCUUGUCAUAAUGACUGCGGUCUUAGAUAUCUUAAUGACUCUCUAUUCUCGUGAAUUGUUUUCACGUCACCGUGGCUGCAUUCGGAAGUAAGUCUCCGGCAAGCUGCGAGCGACUUG